rnacentral:lncRNA from 1 species
AGGAAAAUGACCUUUGAUGACGGGUUUAUGAGAAAUUGUGGUUCUCCCGGUAUUCCCUUCCUGCCUCCAGACACAUGCCUGGUUCCCUUGGAUCUCAGCUGCAGAAUCUCAGGCAGGCGGCUGAACUUCACACCCGCGGGACAGCACGUGGACCAACUACAUUGUCCCUCUAGUUGUGGCAUGUGGGACGCUGCCUCAGCGUGGUCUGAUGAGCAGUGCCAUGUCCGCGCCCAGGAUUCGAACCAACGAAACACUGAGCCGCCUGCAGCGGAGCGCACGAACUUAACCACUCGGCCACAGGGCCAGCCCCUCC